rnacentral:rRNA from 1 species
GACGAACGCUGGCGGCGUGCUUAACACAUGCAAGUCGAACGGAAAGGCCCUGCUUUUGUGGGGUGCUCGAGUGGCGAACGGGUGAGUAACACGUGAGUAACCUGCCCUUGACUUUGGGAUAACUUCAGGAAACUGGGGCUAAUACCGGAUAGGAGCUCCUGCUGCAUGGUGGGGGUUGGAAAGUUUCGGCGGGUGGGGAUGGACUCGCGGCUUAUCAGCUUGUUGGUGGGGUAGUGGCUUACCAAGGCAUUGACGGGUAGCCGGCCUGAGAGGGUGAACGGGGACCAGAGGACUACGGUAGGGAGCAGUGUGCUAUAGUAGGCAGUAGGGGGGAAUAUGGCACAGUGGGCGCGAGUCUGAGGAAGAAACGCCGCGUUCGGAAAGACGUCCUGCGGGGAGAAAACAGCAUUAGCCUGUGACGAAGCGUUAGUGACGGUAAUGGAUAAAGAAGCACCGGCUAACUACGUG